ACUUUUGCGAAGCUUUUAGGUUUCUUACCAUAAACAGUAAGGAUUAAAAGGGAAUCCGGUGUAAUUCCGGAGCUGUCCCGCAGCUGUAAGUCCGGCCUUUGUUAUACAGAGGUCAGUUGAUCCAUUUAGUCACUGUCCCGAUUCUGUAUCGGUAUGGGAAGACGUCAACGUAGGAUGAGCCAGAAGACCUGCCAAAAGUGUUAUCAAUUC
rnacentral:ncRNA from 1 species